GAAGUCGAGAUUUUAAAUUCUAAUCCUCUCCCACAGAACCAAAAAGUAAUAUUUUAUACUAAGAUUCUAUUCAAAAUUGAGAAUACAUAGAGGCACAACCUUCUCAAAAGGAACUUCAUACUGAAUAUCGAAGCAAUUAGAAUGAGAUCAUUCUGGCAAUAUGGAAACGGCAAGGGAUUUUGGCCAGUUGCCUAGUUUUAUGACAUAACGAGCUACCAUCCUCAAAGAUGGCCUCUAAUCAUCAGCAAAAAACUUAAAAUCUGCCCAAAUACACCAAUAAUUAUUUGAUAUUACUUGAUCCUGUUUGUUUAAAUAUUAAACUGAAUGCGAGUUUUUCUUCAGCUCCAUCAGCAACUUAAUGACUCCACAAUGUGUUUCUGCCGGGAUCCAACUAUUGCAUCAAUGAUACAGGAAGCUCCAAAUCUACUUAUAACACCACCAGUGGCUCUUAGCAGACAUCUACAUACUAACAUUUCUCCUGUAUAUCAAAUCAACAAGGGAACGUAUUUUCAAAACAACUCUCAGAAAGCCUUUGAGAAGCCGUGAUAUCACCAAAACAAGACGAAUUCCAAUCAAACGUAACCUAAAUAUGUGGGAGUUCUUCACUAAAAGAAUAAGCUCCCCUUAAUCCACUGCCUAUCUGAAGAAAGACAAUCUCUGAGGGUAGUCAUCAAAGGGAAUGUUUGAAGCAUCAUGACCUUAUCCGGAGGCCUUGGCAAGAAGCAAACACAGACGCCAACUACUUCAGCAACACUCUCCAUAUCUUACUCAUGUACACAGCCAGAGACCAUACUGAAAGACCUGCUGAGAUAUAAAGCAAAACAACACCAGAAGCUACCAAAAUCCCAGGUCCUCCAAGACUGAACAAAGAAAGGGCAGAGGCAGAGAAGGUCAGAUGUCUCAGAGGACAAUCCAAUGAGACUUCUUUUAUGCAUCAUGAAUAAGUAGAUGAGACUACUGACUAGGUCAAAAAAGCAGGAAGAACAAUAUGAAAAAGAAAGUGGGUAGGGACCUGCUGUCUCUGGUAGCCAGGAGAAUGAUUAGUGCAGUCAUCUGUGUUGCAGUUUUCCACUUCCCCAAGUUAUUAACAGCAACUGCCUCUAAGAGUUUACAAUUCUGUGAAGCUGCCUAUUCUCUGACUGCGGACAUAGUUAUCUACAAAUAAAUAGGCAAUUGGUUUGUCAAAUAAAAUAGCAUUCCCCAAAAUAUCAAAUGAAAAUAGCUUGUUGUCUGAAGGGUAAAACUAGAUAAACAGUAUACAUCAAAGGACUGUCAGGAUAAGCACACUAAUGACGCCAGCAAAGCAUUGAUUUGUGUAAUAGUGGCAUGGGGAGAAGAGAGAGAGAGAGAGUAAACGUAACAAAACGAUUAAAGAACAUAUAAUUCUCCCAUGCAACGAAUGCAAAAAGUAAAAGCAUCAAUUAAACUUAUUAAAAUAAUGAAUACAUAACCAAGACAUAUAAACCCUACUAAAAAGGCACUUUAACCUAAACCCUAAAGAAGGGGGAAAAUAGUUGAACUCCAAUGAGCAAGCCCACUCAAGUGUGACCUUAUGAUAUUACAGUUAUAAUAAAAUAAUUACAAAUAACAAUAUCACAUCCCAACCAAUUAUGGCUAUUGAUGGUACAGUCAGUGGCCAUGACACUUGUCCAAAGAUUGCAACUUCCAGAGGUCUAGUACACAAUAAGACCAAGGUGGCAGCAACCAUAAGUUUAUCAGCCACUGGAUCCAAAAAUGCACCAAAGGCAGAGCCUAACCUCAUCUUUCGGGCUAGGUAUCCAUCAAGCCAAUCAGUAACUGCUGCAGCAAUGAAAAUACUUGUUGUAGCAGUUCUCCCCCACCAACUAUCCACAUAAAAAGUGCUAACGAGAAGCGGCACAGCAGCGACACGGCCGAGGGUUAAAAUGGUAGGCAGCGUGAGCAAUUUAUGAUAGGAAUCUUGUUGACUUUGGCAAUUUUGCAAAGACGGCGACGGCGGCUGAUUCCGACUGUCUGAAUGGUUAUUCUCGUACCAAUCAAUCCCGUUAACCUUGUUCUCGGACCCCAUAUCUGCUAGACCCGAUCCGGUAGACGACGAAUCGGACCCAGAGAAGCCUCCCGUUUUUGGAGCGUUGGAGGAGGAGGAGGAG
rnacentral:misc_RNA from 1 species